GAUGAACGCUGGCGGCGUGCCUAAUACAUGCAAGUCGAGCGAACUGACGAGAAGCUUGCUUCUCUGAUGUUAGCGGCGGACGGGUUAGUAACACGUGGAUAACCUACCUAUAAGACUGGGAUAACUUCGGGAAACCGGAGCUAAUACCUGAUAAUAUUUUGCACCGCAUUGUUCAAAAGUGAAAGACGGUCUUGCUGUCACUUAUAGAUGUAUCCGCGCUGCAUUAGCUAGUUGGUAAGGUAACGGCUUACCAAGGCAACGAUGCAUAGCCGACCUGAGAGGGUGAUCGGCCACACUGGAACUGAGACACGGUCCAGACUCAUACGGGAGGCAGCAGUAGGGAAUCUUCAGCAAUGGGCGAAAGACUGACGGAGCAACGCCGAGUGAGUGAUGAAGGUAUUCGGAUCGUAAAACUCUGUUAUUAGGGAAGAACAUAUGUGUAAGUAACUGUGCAAAUCUUGACGGUACCUAAUCAGAAAGCCACGGCUAACUACGUG
rnacentral:rRNA from 1 species